rnacentral:rRNA from 1 species
GAUGAACGCUGGCGGCGUGCCUAAUACAUGCAAGUAGAACGCUGAAGGGAGGAGCUUGCUCUUUCCGGAUGAGUUGCGAACGGGUGAGUAACGCGUAGGUAACCUGCCUGGUAGCGGGGGAUAACUAUUGGAAACGAUAGCUAAUACCGCAUAACAGUAGAUGUUGCAUGAUAUCUACUUAAAAGGUGCAAUUGCACCACUACCAGAUGGACCUGCGUUGUAUUAGCUAGUUGGGGAGGUAACGGCUCAACAAAGCGACGAUAGAUAGCCGACCUGGGAGGGUGGUCGGCCCACCCGGGACUGGGACCCGGGCCAGACUCCUUAGGGAGGCAGCAGUAGGGAAUCUUCGGCAAUGGACGGAAGUCUGACCGGGCCACGCCGGGUGAGUGGAGAAGGUUUUUGGAUUGUAAAGCUCUGUUGUAUGGGGAGAACGAGUGGGAUAGUUGAAAGUUCACACUGUGACGGUACCUUACCAGAAAGGGACGGCUAACUACGUG